rnacentral:ncRNA from 1 species
ACUGACGGAGCCAGCGAGUCCUAUCCUUGACCGACAGGUCCGGGUAAUCUUGUGAAACUUCGUCGUGCUGGGGAUAGAGCAUUGCAAUUAUUGCUCUUCAAC